rnacentral:miRNA from 1 species
AUAGACCAACAGAACUUACACUG